rnacentral:rRNA from 1 species
UACGUAGGUGGCAAGCGUUGUCCGGAUUUACUGGGCGUAAAGAGCGCGCAGGCGGUCGAUCAAGUCGCGUGUGAAAGCCCCCGGCUCAACUGGGGAGGGUCACGCGAUACUGAUCGACUCGAAGGCAGGAGAGGGUAGUGGAAUUCCCGGGUGUAGUGGUGAAAUGCGUAGAUAUCGGGAGGAACACCAGUGGCGAAGGCGACUACCUGGCCUGUUCUUGACGCUGAGGCGCGAAAAGCUAGGGGAGCAAACGGGG